AGUGAACGCUGGCGGUAGGCCUAACACAUGCAAGUCGAACGGCAGCACAGUAAGAGCUUGCUCUUACGGGUGGCGAGUGGCGGACGGGUGAGGAAUACAUCGGAAUCUACUUUUUCGUGGGGGAUAACGUAGGGAAACUUACGCUAAUACCGCAUACGACCUACGGGUGAAAGCAGGGGAUCUUCGGACCUUGCGCGAUUGAAUGAGCCGAUGUCGGAUUAGCUAGUUGGCGGGGUAAAGGCCCACCAAGGCGACGAUCCGUAGCUGGUCUGAGAGGAUGAUCAGCCACACUGGAACUGAGACACGGUCCAGACUCCUACGGGAGGCAGCAGUGGGGAAUAUUGGACAACGGGCGCAAGCCUGAUCCAGCCAUACCGCGUGGGUGAAGAAGGCCUUCGGGCUGUAAAGCCCUUUUGUUGGGAAAGAAAAGCAGCAGGUUAAGACCCCGCUGUUCUGACGGUACCCAAAGAAUAAGCACCGGCUAACUUCGU
rnacentral:rRNA from 1 species